CCUACGGGAGGCAGCAGUGGGGAAUAUUGCACAAUGGGGGAAACCCUGAUGCAGCAACGCCGCGUGAGUGAAGAAGUAUUUCGGUAUGUAAAGCUCUAUCAGCAGGGAAGAAGAGAGACGGUACCUGACUAAGAAGCCCCGGCUAACUACGUGCCAGCAGCCGCGGUAAUACGUAGGGGGCAAGCGUUAUCCGGAUUUACUGGGUGUAAAGGGGGCGUAGCCGGCUGUGCAAGUCUGAAGGUAAAGCCCGUGGCCUAACCGCGGAACUGCUUUGGAAACUGUGUAGCUUGAGUACUGGAGAGGCAUGCGGAAUGCCUAGUGUAGCGGUGAAAUGCGUAGAUAUCAGGAGGAACACCAGUGGCGAAGGCGGCCUGCCGGACACAAACUGACGUUGAGGCUCGAAAGCGUGGGUAGCAAACAGGAUUAGAUACCCGGGUAGUC
rnacentral:rRNA from 1 species